rnacentral:rRNA from 1 species
UCCUACGGGAGGCAGCAGUAGGGAAUCUUCGGCAAUGGACGAAAGUCUGACCGAGCAACGCCGCGUGAGUGAAGAAGGUUUUCGGAUCGUAAAACUCUGUUGUUAGAGAAGAACAAGGAUGAGAGUAACUGUUCAUCCCUUGACGGUAUCUAACCAGAAAGCCACGGCUAACUACGUGCCAGCAGCCGCGGUAAUACGUAGGUGGCAAGCGUUGUCCGGAUUUAUUGGGCGUAAAGCGAGCGCAGGCGGUUUCUUAAGUCUGAUGUGAAAGCCCCCGGCUCAACCGGGGAGGGUCAUUGGAAACUGGGAGACUUGAGUGCAGAAGAGGAGAGUGGAAUUCCAUGUGUAGCGGUGAAAUGCGUAGAUAUAUGGAGGAACACCAGUGGCGAAGGCGGCUCUCUGGUCUGUAACUGACGCUGAGGCUCGAAAGCGUGGGGAGCAAACAGGAUUAGAUACCCUGGUAGUCCACGCCGUAAACGAUGAGUGCUAAGUGUUGGAGGGUUUCCGCCCUUCAGUGCUGCAGCUAACGCAUUAAGCACUCCGCCUGGGGAGUACGACCGCAAGGUUGAAACUCAAAGGAAUUGACGG